CAAACUGGAGAUGGCGACCGGCGCACGGGUGAGUAACACGUAUCCAACCUGCCGAUAACUCGGGGAUAGCCUUUCGAAAGAAAGAUUAAUACCCGAUGGCAUAAUAGAACCGCAUGGUUUGAUUAUUAAAGAAUUUCGGUUAUCGAUGGGGAUGCGUUCCAUUAGGCAGUUGGUGGGGUAACGGCCCACCAAACCUUCGAUGGAUAGGGGUUCUGGGAGGAAGGUCCCCCACAUUGGAACUGAGACACGGUCCAA
rnacentral:rRNA from 1 species